GAAAUGCGAUAAGUAAUGUGAAUUGCAGAAUUCAGUGAAUCAUCGAAUCUUUGAACGCACCUUGCGCUCCUUGGUAUUCCUUGGAGCAUGCCUGUUUGAGUAUCAUGAAAUCUUCAAAGUAAAUCUUUUGUUAACUCAAUUGGUUUCUACUUUGGUAUUGGAGGUCUUUGCAGCUUCACACCUGCUCCUCUUUGUUCAUUAGCUGGAUCUCAGUGUUAUGCUUGGUUCCACUCGGCGUGAUAAGUUAUCUAUCGCUGAGGACACUGUAAAAGAUGGCCAAGGUAAAUGCAGAUGAACCGCUUCUAAUAGUCCAUUGACUUGGACAAUACUUUUAUGAUCUGAUCUCGAAUCAGGUAGGACUACCCGCUGAACUUAAGC
rnacentral:misc_RNA from 1 species